AUUGAACGCUGGCGGCAUGCCUUACACAUGCAAGUCGAACGGUAACGGGCCUUCGGGUGCCGACGAGUGGCGAACGGGUGAGUAAUACAUCGGAACGUGCCCGAUCGUGGGGGAUAACGAGGCGAAAGCUUUGCUAAUACCGCAUACGAUCUACGGAUGAAAGCAGGGGACCGCAAGGCCUUGUGCGGACGGAGCGGCCGAUGGCAGAUUAGGUAGUUGGUGGGAUAAAAGCUUACCAAGCCGACGAUCUGUAGCUGGUCUGAGAGGAUGAUCAGCCACACUGGGACUGAGACACGGCCCAGACUCCUACGGGAGGCAGCAGUGGGGAAUUUUGGACAAUGGGCGCAAGCCUGAUCCAGCCAUGCCGCGUGCAGGAUGAAGGCCUUCGGGUUGUAAACUGCUUUUGUACGGAACGAAAAGCCUUCUUUUAAUACAGGAGGGUCAUGACGGUACCGUAAGAAUAAGCACCGGCUAACUACGUG
rnacentral:rRNA from 1 species